rnacentral:lncRNA from 1 species
CAAAUGCAGCCAGAAGUAGGAAAAAUAGUCCUCUGCUGUGUUAUUUGUUGGUGUCAUGGGCUCUUCUAAAUGCUGUCAUGCAUCCAUAAUAACAUACUGCACAAGUAGCAUGCUGCCUGCCAGAGUACACUGCUACAACUGACCUGAAUAGACAAAAGCAAACAUAGGUUGCGUUAAACUGUCAGUCAUUGCUGUUUUGAAACUGGUUGGAUGGCAGCGGUUCAGAAACUACUUAAAGCUCCUGUGAGAAUUUCUCAACUGGAUAAGAAACAGACUGAAAUGAAGACUGAUAUCUCUCAGGACCUACAGAGGCACACAAAUCAUCUCUUUAGUGUAUUUUUUUAAUGCUCCGGACAGCUACUGUGGAGAAAGUAUCAGAUUCAGUGAGGAAACAGCCUGGGUUUACAUUUUCCACUAUAAGGGCCUGUUUCCACUCAUGUUGUUUGAGCUCUAACAGUGCCUGUCUUCUAUACAAAACUGAUACAGUCUAGUGUUUUAAAGGCUCAACAUCAAUAAUUAGAAAGUUACUACAGUAUUUUUUUUAAGUGACACAUUCCACAUUUGAUUGCUUUUACAUUAUCUUUUUAAAAUUUAGUAUAAAAAAGCAAAUAAAAAGUACAAUUUUGGUCUGAUCUACUUGAAACAGACUUAAUGUUCACUCUUUAAGGACGCAGAAUUGCAGCAGACAACUUUAUCCCUAUAAUGCCAGAAACCACAAAUUAUGUCCGGAAAAUUCUAAUUUUUGAUUUUGUUAAUUUAAGAUGUUUUUGGAAACUGAUAAACCACAGGAGGGCAUUUUUAACAUUUAUCGGACUGUAUUAAGGUGUUUUUUAGUAAUUUGUUGAUCAUAUUGAUUUGAUAGAAGUAUCAUAAAAGUAUGUUUCAAAUAUGAUACAAAAGGGAAUAAAGGGUUAUGAUCUUGGCAAUGAUAAAACCCAGUUAGAAAUGCUUAGAAAUUGGGAUUAUGCGAUCUGCCAGGGCCAAAAACAGCUGCUAGUGGACACAGGCCCUAAAGCUGGUAAAUAAGUGACUCAUGAGAGGAUGAAUUCUUAUUAAUAGUAUAACUGAAUGUAUUACCUUCAUCUGAAAUAUGAUAAAGAUGUAUAAGUCUUAAAAAAGUGUCAACCUGCACAGUUUCGAUUAUACCCUUAAACUGUAUCAAACAUGGGUGUAGUCUCACAGUUUUAGGGAUGCCUACUGAUCACCUUUUAAUCAAUCUAGUCACUAGCAAACAGGUGGGACUGAGGCGUUCGUUUGGCUUACAAUGCACCCAUCAAUUUGUCUAUUUGGCCAACAUCUUCUCUUACUUUUGAUGUUAUCUCAAAAGAUAUGUUAGAAUAAUGUUUGUAUCUUGUAUUACACACCAUAAAAAACAAGCAAUACUUUAAACUGUUAUUCAAAUCAGAUUGAAAUCAUUCUAAUUUUUGCUGUGAAUAUCAGCAUUUUAAUAUUGGACUGAAUGGGAAUCCUUGGCUCUUACAGCCAGCCUCAAGUGGACACUUGAGGAACUGCACUUUUAUUUGUACUUGUACAUUAGCUUCAUUUUCCAGCACCAGAGGUCACAUCCUGGUUCAGAAACGAAUUGACUGAUCACGUCAUCAUGUUGUAAAGCAGUGGGGUACACCAAACAGGCCACUAGACGAUCAUAGAGCCUUUACGCAGAGAUCGAAAACCAUUCAAACUGAUAUAAACAAAAGAAAAGCUGCUAACAGUUUAGAAUUGAUCCAAUCUGCUUUCACUGCACCACCACACUGCACCAUAAAAGUUAAACUCUAGUUAGGCUUAAUCAGCUGUAAUUGAACAGUUAUCUACUGAUACUAAAGAAUUUGUGUCAGUCUGUUCACAUUCAUCAGAACUGAAAUCAAGAGUAUUGUCAUUUUUUCUGGACUGAUUUCAGCUCAGAAAAACUGCAGCAAAGUUCUGAUUUAAAAGAAUAAAAACGUUUUUCUCUACUUGGAAACCGUGUAUCCUCUUCAAAUUUCAUGCCACGCUGAAAAACGAGGGCUGCAGUUGCAGUUUGCCUCCACCAUUCACCACAAUCUCCUAAAUCAUGCCGGGGGAGGAGGAUGAGGGGGGUUGUGGGUAAGCCAGCAUGUUUGUUUUACAGUGAUUAGCCUAUUAUGGGGUCCGCCGCUGCCAAGCCCCGCUGAGCGCUACACGCAUGCCUCUGUGACCUCGCUGAGCUGAGUGGGCGAGUCGCAGGCGUCAUUAUGGUGGCUGCGCUGUUCGCUGCCGUGGAAACCGGGCGGACUGAGGAAAGAGAGGUCUGCGAGUUCAACAUGUAAGGGGUCACAGGAGGUCAGACAGAGCUCACGCUGAUCUUUACUGUGUUGCAUCAGCGCGGUGGAGUAACGCUGCGCAGAGAGCUGCACAUCUCUGUGUGUCUGUGCACUUUUUAGAUUUCUGUUUAAGCUCCAGUUUCCCUCUGCAGUUGUAAGAGAAGCAGUUGUUUAUAGCCGUCAAUGACAGCUAUCCAAUCUGUGGUCACUCUGGCCUCACCGACCAAUGGAAACACAUUAUUAGGGAGGGGGGGUCGGUCGUCUGUGUGCUUUCUGGUCUUGUGUGUGUUUUGGGGGUUAGUGUGUGUUGCAUGUCCAUAAAAAUUGUGAAAGCUGCAUGAGGCUGUUGGUCACACUUGGCCCAUGCUGUCGGCCUUGUGGAUUUCCUAAAACAAACUGAAGCUCUGAAAACGCUGCGGUUUAUCUGGAAGCAGAGAGACUACAACUGCAUUUACAUAAGAAAAAAACGAAAACAAAACAAGAACAGAGUCGAAGAAAGCCACCAGAUACUCUGACUAUCAUUAUACUGAUGUUUUUUUCUUACAAAUAGUAGGUAAAUGUUUGGAAAAUAAUGCAAAAGCCGUUUUAAAAAGUUAUUAUCAAUGAUCUGUUUCCAAGUAAGCCAAUACAAUCAAAUACAGGCUGAGAUCUGGGAACAGUCGGCUCAAUUUUAACACUAUGACUCUGACAGCUACGAUAAACAAACAUCUUACAAGAAAAAUACUUAAUAUGUCAUAUGUGUGUUUUUUAAAGGUUAUAUGAAGUUUUUACAUGCCUCUGGAAAAACAACUGACAACUGUGUAACCACGACUUUUCACUUCCUGAAGUUUCUGAUCAAGUUUCUGAAGUUUCGUACAAAAGAACGGAGCUGCUGAGUGAACGACGUGAACUGAAUCACUCCGAGACCUGAAUCGUUCCUUUCUCAGUUCAGUUGAACUCAGCCGGGUGCCUGGCAUGCCGGUCGGGAGCGGAACUGCCGCCUUUGACUCUUUGGCGAAAAACACACAGCCAGUCAGCGAGCGGAGUCUCGUGAUUCACUCACAGCAAAUGAACGAUAUGUAUCAGUCAGUGAACAAAAUGUAUUAGUCAGUCAGUAAACGACACGGUGGACGAAACGAACAACUUCCAAAUGACUUUAUUCAGGCAGAGGAGGGAGGGGUGUAGUGUCACUUACUGCCGAGCACCGGUUCGUUCACUGAGGCUAAGAUAAAACAGUUCAUUAUAGUACACGUGUAUAAACUUUCCUGCAAGAAUGCAUUAAUUUUAGACGAUUCAAUGCAAUAUGCUAUUUGAUAUCUUUAAAAGUAGCAGAAUCCUCACUACGGCUGCGAUGUUUAUUUCUUUUUAAUCUCUGCACUUUUCCGCAAUAUAAAAGAACGAAGACUCACGCUCGUUUAACUCCUUUUUAUCAUCUAAUUUUCCAUAAUUCCAGAGAGCACUUAGGGAGAUGUUGGCUCUAAGCAUCUUGUAAAAUGGUCAAACUCCAUCUGCCCAUAAAGAUGUCCAAUACGAGAAAACGAUCCAGAGCUACGCCGUCGACCUUUCGCUCCUGACUCUUUCAGUUUAAGCCACAGAAUCGAAUAAGGAGCUUUUUUUGGACGUCUUACAUGGCUCAUUUUGAGGUUUUGUUUAUUUUCUCUUUAUGAAAUUCUACUUUAAUUUGCGGUUGCUAAGAACAUUGUUUGAUGCUUUGUAGAAACAGGCCUCAUAGUUCCUCUGGCACAAGAGGUUAUAGGAGAACAAUCUGCCUCCACAAGCCCGAAGAAGUGAGUUUGGUUACGCCUUCUAGUAGGUGAUGAUGAAAAGAUUAAGAGCGGAUUCUUUUCACACUUUUAAGCUACGGUCGCGUGUCUACGCCAGCUUAUUCAGAGCGGAGAGUUGAUCCAAAAGUGAGUCAGCCCUUCGCUGUCACGGAGGGCGAGGAUCACGCCCUUUUUCUAACCUUGCAGCAUCACAACCAGAGUGGGUCUACAAGGUGCGACUCCUUCACAGUCUCCCUUCAGGUUAUGUCUCAGGGGGGUAUAAGUGUAUUUGACACUUUAAGACCAGUAAAUAAAGGGCAAAUGUAUUGUUUUAUUGAUUUUAUAUUGGUAUAUUUUUUAGUUUAGGUUAUCUACAAACUGCUCAAACUUCUGAGCAAAAAUGUAAACUUCUGAACUUCCUGCCGCUCCUCUUCCACCGUUUUUAUGAAACCCAGUUACUGUUUUCUUUCCUGGUCAUGGGAGAUUCUUCUUCACUGUUCUUUAUAUUUAUUUUUGAAAAGUCUUAAAAAAAAUCAAACCCACAAGCAGUAUUUAAUAUUUUCUACCGGACCAUGUGAACCAGCUUGUGCUGUUCUGUCUCGCUGUGAUCAAUAAAGGAAGACUUAAUUCUGGUUAUUUAGAUAAGUCAUCCCAUAGAGAAUGGAAAACAGAGGCCUAUUUAUUUAAAUACUGUGACUCAGAGCAGAAAAACGACUCCAGAUAUACUAUCUGUCUCAAUAAGUCCAUACAUGCAUGCCCAUACGAACCCCGCUGGUCCUUCGAUUGCUUACCGUUACGCCCAAUAAACCAACAUCCCAGCCAAAAAGUGAAAGC